rnacentral:lncRNA from 1 species
ACCCCACUUCUUUCUCUUCUCUCUCACUACCCAUCUUUCACACAUAUAUAUUUCACAUUACAAAAAUUUACUCAAGAAAACUUAGGCGUGGAAAUCAAACAAGCCAAUUUCUUUAAUUUCCUUUAUUUUUCCAACACAACUGUAAGUAUAUAUGCACUGUUAGUUAUGCUGCACUUUUGAAAAAUAUGUUUAUGGGUCCAUAUGUAUGUUCUAAGUUUCAGAUCGAAGUUUAGUAGUGGUACGCACGUAAAAUUCAUACCACCUAAGUUAGGUAUAAUUUUUGUGUCUCCUUUAUGCAAGUUCUAUGAUUUCAAAAGUCAUGUGAUUAUAAAUUUAUAAACACGUAUAUGCUUAUUGAAAUUUUCUAACCCUUAAGUUUUGCCCUUUUCAGGUAACUAAGCAUGGGAAGAUUGGAGCUUGGACUUGGUCGUCGUGAUGGGAAUAAAUCUGAAGUUUCUAUAAAUUUCCUUUCAAAUAGAAAUUUUUAAGUUCAUAAACAAGUUGUAAUUUUUUUUUAAGUUGACUUUCUUAAUGUAUGAAAUGAAU